GUUCCGUAGGNGAACNUGCGGAAGGAUCAUUAUCGAUUUUCGAGGAGGANAGAUGGAAAGUCCAAGUCUGUCGCUGGCCCUUGCAAAGGGGCAUGUGNCACGUCUUUGCCUUUCGUCGACCUUUCUCAUAAUACACACCUGUGCACCCAUUUGUAGGUCUUCGAAAGGGGAUGCUACGUUUUUCACAUCACAUCUAUCGUAUGUCUACAGAAUGUUAUCAAAGACUGUUGACCAGGCUUUGCCCUGGUUGGCUGGUCGAUAAAUAAAAUAAAAUACAACUUUCAGCAACGGAUCUCUUGGCUCUCGCAUCGAUGAAGAACGCAGCGAAUUGCGAUAAGUAAUGUGAAUUGCAGAUUUCCAGUGAAUCAUCGAAUCUUUGAACGCACCUUGCGCUCCUUGGUAUUCCGAGGAGCAUGCCUGUUUGAGUGUCAUCGAAUUCUCAACCAUGUCUUGAUUGAUUUCAAGCGCAUGGCUUGGAUCUUGGGGGUUGCUGGUGGCCAAUCACAGCCAUCAGCUCUCCUGAAAUGCAUUAGCAAUGGGUUGUCUGGUCUAUUGAUGUGCACGGCCUUUGACGUGAUAAUGAUCGUCGUGGCUGGAGCGUUUUUAAGACCAUGCAUGAAUAGCCUAAGCUUCUAAUAAUGAUAAAGAUAAGAUUUGGAUCCGUUGGUCUUGGAGAAACUGAGCUUUAGUUACUAGUCAGCCGUGAGGCUGGCGAACNNNACACAGAGCAAAGAUUUUCUGGACUUGCAUUUCCU
rnacentral:rRNA from 1 species